rnacentral:rRNA from 1 species
AGAUCAACAACCCCACAUAAAUACCCCCUAACACCCUUAACCCACCCUAAACAAAUCAUUUUUCCCCCUUAGUACAGGCGAUAGAAAAGGAACUGAGGAGCAACAGAAAAAGUACCGCAAGG